rnacentral:piRNA from 1 species
UAACUGUUCCUCCAUUCACUUUCCAAAGAAGU